AGAGGCAUGAAGAGGGAAGCAGCAUCAGGAGUUUAGGAAAGAGAUUAAGAAAAGAGAUCCCCCCCGUUUGAAUGGAACUUCAUUCAGCUGAAUAGAUCUCUGACCUGGAGCAUUAUCUGAAAGUAGCAUAUAUGGAGCAUCGUCUCUUGUUACCAUGGAGUCUUGUUGCUUCUGCGGUCAAGGACUGAAAAGAAUUCCUGGGAGAUGAACUUCUGCUGGAGUGUUCCACCAUAAAUGAAUCUGCAAUAAUAAUUUCCCUGCUACUACCAGAAGACUGUUCAUCAUUUCCUGCACAAAUAAAAGACAGCAGUUCAUA